rnacentral:snRNA from 1 species
GUGCUCAUUUUGGCAGCACAUACACUAAAAUCGAAACAACAGAGAAGAAUAGCAUGGCCCCUAUGCAAGGAUGACUUUCAAAUUCAUGAAGCAAGGAGUCAGCUGGCAUUU